rnacentral:rRNA from 1 species
GACGAACGCUGGCGGCGUGCUUAACACAUGCAAGUCGAACGAAGUGGCGAAAGGGUGAGUAACGCGUAAUCAACCUGCCCUUCAGAGGGGGACAACAGUUGGAAACGACUGCUAAUACCGCAUACUGAAGGAGGGGAUUGCGUCUGAUUAGCUAGUUGUAGGGGUAACGGCCCACCAAGGCGAUGAUCAGUAGCCGGAAUGAGAGGAUGAACGGCCGCAUGGGGAGUGGGAUACGGCCCAGACUCAUACGGAAGGCAGCAGGGGGGAGUCUUCCGGAAUGGACGAAAGUCUGACGGAGCAACGCCGCGUGAGUGAUGAGGGACUUCGGGUGGUAAAGCUCUGUUAAUCGGGACGCGGUACCGGAAUAGAAAGCCACGGCUAACUACGUGCCAGCAGCCGCGGUAAUUC